rnacentral:rRNA from 1 species
UGAUUAGCGGCGGACGGGUGAGUAACACGUGGGUAAUCUGCCUGUAAGACGGGGAUAACUCCGGGAAACCGGGGCUAAUACCGGAUAAUAAGAGAAGAAGCAUUUCUUCUUUUUGAAAGUCGGUUUCGGCUGACACUUACAGAUGAGCCCGCGGCGCAUAGCUAGUUGGUGAGGUAACGGCUCACCAAGGCGACGAUGCGUAGCCGACCUGAGAGGGUGAUCGGCCACACUGGGACUGAGACACGGCCCAGACUCCUACGGGAGGCAGCAGUAGGGAAUCUUCGGCAAUGGGCGAAAGCCUGACCGAGCAACGCCGCGUGAGCGAUGAAGGCCUUCGGGUCGUAAAGCUCUGUUGUUAGAGAAGAACAAGUACGAGAGUAACUGCUCGUACCUUGACGGUACCUAACCAGAAAGCCACGGCUAACUACGUGCCAGCAGCCGCGGUAAUACGUAGGUGGCAAGCGUUAUCCGGAAUUAUUGGGCGUAAAGCGCGCGCAGGCGGUCUCUUAAGUCUGAUGUGAAAGCCCACGGCUCAACCGUGGAGGGUCAUUGGAAACUGGGAGACUUGAGUGCAGGAGAGAAAAGUGGAAUUCCACGUGUAGCGGUGAAAUGCGUAGAGAUGUGGAGGAACACCAGUGGCGAAGGCGGCUUUUUGGCCUGUAACUGACGCUGAGGCGCGAAAGCGUGGGGAGCAAACAGGAUUAGAUACCCUGGUAGUCCACGCCGUAAACGAUGAGUGCUAGGUGUUGGGGGGUUCCACCCUCAGUGCUGAAGUUAACACAUUAAGCACUCCGCCUGGGGAGUACGACCGCAAGGUUGAAACUCAAAGGAAUUGACGGGGGCCCGCACAAGCAGUGGAGCAUGUGGUUUAAUUCGAAGCAACGCGAAGAACCUUACCAGGUCUUGACAUCCUUUGACCACUCUAGAGAUAGAGCUUUCCCCUUCGGGGGACAAAGUGACAGGU